ensembl:snRNA U1 U1 spliceosomal RNA
AAGUUGUCCUGGCUGGGGAGAUACCAUGAUCACCAAGGUGGUUUUCCCAGGAUGAGGCUUAUUCAUUGUACUCCAGAUGUGCUGAAAGCUGCUAUUUCCCUAAAUGCAGGAAACUCGACUGCAUAAUUUGUGGUAGUAGGGGAUUUUGUUUGCACAAGA